rnacentral:sRNA from 1 species
AGCUGUGUGCACAGGAGAAGUGGGGACACACACUCACCUUAGAAAGUGUCCCCCUCACUCAGCAGCAGGACUCACUCUAGCCCCAACUGGAACAACCCAAGUAUCCACUGUGAGAGGAACAGUCAGAUCCACUGUGGAGUGUUCUCACAGUGGGGCGCCACACAGCAGUUAGGAAUGAGCUACAGCUACACACGACAGUGUGGACGCGUCUCAUAGGCUAAUGUCGAGGGAAAGCUGCACAGAGGAGCUGGAAAACCUCAUGCUGGACAAAGAUGGCCACAUCAAGAUCACUGACUUUGGCCUCUGCAAAGAGGGCAUCAGUGACGGGGCCACCAUGAAAACCUUCUGUGGGACCCCGGAGUACCUGGCGCCUGAGGUGCUGGAGGACAAUGACUAUGGCCGGGCCGUGGACUGGUGGGGGCUGGGUGUGGUCAUGUACGAGAUGAUGUGCGGCCGC